UGUGGGCUUCUUCCCUGUAGCAAGAUUCUUCUGAGGUCCAUGCACGUUUCUGCACGUACCAAUAAUUCAUUUCUCUCUGUUGCUGAAGCAUCUUUCAAGGCAAAGAGGAGUGAAGAACCAGUGUUAUAUAGAAUGUUUUAUUUUAAAGCAACAAGCAUGCAUUGACUUCACAGCCGGAGGAAGACUAUGUAGGAAUCAUGGUUCAUUAUUCUUAGUAACAGUGGCCCUGAUUUACCCAAGUGCAAGGCUGCCUGGCUGGAGAGCAAACCAUCACUUCUCCUUGCAAGAAACUCUGUCUGCGUCUUGAGUAAAUGUGAUGUGGCGACUUUUAGGAUCCCUCUGUAAGAGACAGAUGGUAGUCCCUGGUACUUCACCCCACGUCCUGUUCAAGCAGGGGUCAUCACAUGACCUUCCGUUAGAAGCCAUUGCUUAGAUGCCACAAUUCAAUCCAUGGGAGAACAGUAGCACAGCCAUCGAUCCUAAAGGAUUAUGGUUCAAGUCAAUGAGCUUCGGGAUGCUCUAUCAGUGAUUCCUCUACACAGUCAGAGCUGGAUGCUUUAUUGCUCAGUAUUCUGCAGCUGAUUGUCAAGAGUAAGCAGAAAAGAGGGCUGAAUUUCAAGCAAGCCAAGAUGCAAAAAAAGGAGGCUUUAAUAAAUCAAGCUGCAAAGAGGACCCCCAGACAAGCAAAACUCAAAGAAGACCCCUGCACAAGGCAAAUCGCCUGGAAGAAACAAACCAGCAGAGCUGCCGGGAAGAGCUGAAGCACCUGGAAGGGACACUCUUCACCCUUCUGAGCUGCCUACAGGCUGUGCAGUGUGCUCCAGGUUUCCAGCUUCUGUGAGCUGUCACCCAUGCUGAUGUGAGCUUUGGUGAUGCAGCUGUCUGAGUUAUUUCUACUCCCAUAUGUAAACUCUCACCCAUAUUCCUCAAGGGAAUACAAGAAGAAGAAAAAAAGCCUACCAUGACAGUUCUCCAGAGGACAGUACCUAACAAUAUCUGAGUAGCAUGCUCAGCAGAAAGCACAGCCACACUGGAGGACAUCAGGAGAACCCAGCUAAGUAUUGCAUGCUCCUGCUUCCUGACCUGCUUGAGUUCCAGUCCUGAUUUCCUUUGGUGAUGAACAGCAAUGUGGAAGUGUAAGCAGAAUAAACCCUUUCCUCCCCAACUUGCUUCUUGGUCAUGAUGUUUGUGCAGGAAUAGAAA